rnacentral:rRNA from 1 species
GACGAACGCUGGCGGCGUGCCUAAUACAUGCAAGUUGAGCGCUGAAGGUUGGUACUUGUACCAACUGGAUGAGCAGCGAACGGGUGAGUAACGCGUGGGGAAUCUGCCUUUGAGCGGGGGACAACAUUUGGAAACGAAUGCUAAUACCUCAUAAAACCUUUAAACACAAGUUUUAAGUUUGAAAGAUGCAAUUGCAUCACUCAAAGAUGAUCCCGCGUUGUAUUAGCUAGUUGGUGAGGUAAAGGCUCACCAAGGCGAUGAUACAUAGCCGACCUGAGAGGGUGAUAGGCCACAGUGGGACUGAGACACGGCCCAAACUCCUACGGGAGGCAGCAGUAGGGAAUCUUCGGCAAUGGACGAAAGUCUGACCGAGCAACGCCGCGUGAGUGAAGAAGGUUUUCGGAUCGUAAAACUCUGUUGGUAGAGAAGAACGUUGGUGAGAGUGGAAAGCUCAUCAAGUGACGGUAACUACCCAGAAAGGGACGGCUAACUACGUG